UCUCUAGAAUCCCGUGAACAGCUCCCCACCAUGACCUGGAGCUUCCUCUUCCUCUUCUGGGUGGCAGCAGCAAUAGGUGUGCACGCUCAGGUACGGCUGGAGCAGCCUGGGGCUGAGUUAAGGAAGCCCGGGGCCUCAGUGAAGGUGUCCUGCAAGACCUCUGGGUUCACCUUCACCAACAGUUAUAUGCACUGGGUGAGGCAGAGGCCCAGUCAGGGACUUGAGUGGAUGGGCCAGAUUGACCCUGAGAAUGAUAAGACCAAAUAUGCACAGAACUUCCAGGGCAGGCUGACCCUGACAGUGGACAGAUCCUCCAGCACAGCCUUCAUGGAGCUGAGCAGGCUGACAGCUGAUGACUCAGCUGUGUAUUACUGUGCAAGACACACUGUGAAAACCACAUGCUGA